rnacentral:rRNA from 1 species
CCUACGGGGGGCAGCAGUGAGGAAUAUUGGUCAAUGGACGAGAGUCUGAACCAGCCAAGUAGCGUGAAGGAUGACUGCCCUAUGGGUUGUAAACUUCUUUUAUAUGGGAAUAAAAUGUUCCACGUGUGGGAUUUUGUAUGUACCAUAUGAAUAAGGAUCGGCUAACUCCGUGCCAGCAGCCGCGGUAAUACGGAGGAUCCGAGCGUUAUCCGGAUUUAUUGGGGUUAAAGGGAGCGUAGGUGGAUUGUUAAGUCAGUUGUGAAAGUUUGCGGCUCAACCGUAAAAUUGCAGUUGAAACUGGCAGUCUUGAGUACAGUAGAGGUGGGCGGAAUUCGUGGUGGAGCGGUGAAAUGCUUAGAUAUCACGAAGAACUCCGAUUGCGAAGGCAGUUCACUGGACUGCAACUGACACUGAGGCUCGAAAGUGUGGGUAUCAAACAGGAUUAGAUACCCUAGUAGUC